rnacentral:lncRNA from 1 species
UUUUGUACAUUUAUUUCUUUUGAGUACAUAUGCUCUCUUUUUUUUCUUUUUUUUUUCGAGCAUAUUAUUAUAUGUACUACAAUUUUUUUUGGCGCUUGAAACUUUUUUCAACUCCCCCAAACUUAUUUUUAGAGAAUAUUUUGGAUAGACUGAGUCUAAUGUUUGGGACAAUUUAGAGAUAAAUAUGAGAGAAGUGAUGGCUUAAUAUUGCAA